AUUCAGAUGACGAGUCCCUAAUACGACGAAACGCGCGUCAAACUGGAU
rnacentral:hammerhead_ribozyme from 1 species